UUGAUGCUGUAGGCCCAGGUGCUGGCCGGCCCGGUGAGCGUCUCGUCGCCGAAGUGUUCGCCGUCGGCGAGGACGCCGAGGACGGUGAGGUCGUCGUACUUUCCGGUGCCGAGUUUGUUGAGUUUGCCGUGGGCGAUGAGGUAGACGCGGUCGGCGCUCUGGCCGGCUUCGACGAUGACGUCGCCUGCGGAGUACUCGUGUUGGGUGAAUCGGUCGGCGAGGGUUUCGAGUACGGCGGUGUCGGUGAAUCCGCGGAGGAUGGGGAGUUCGCCGAGUUCCGGGGGGAUGACGCGUACUUCGCUGCCGGUGUUGGAGAAGGUGAUGCGUCCGUCUCCGACGGUGUAGGUGAGUCGGCGGUUGACCCGGUAGGUUCCGCCGGAGACCUGUACCCAGGGCAGUACGCGCAGCAGCCAGCGCGAGGAGAUGCCCUGCAUCUGCGGGACGGACUUCGUCGUCGUCGACAGAUUGCGUGCCGCCGCCGUGCCCAGGCUCAACUGGGCCCGCCCCUC
rnacentral:antisense_RNA from 1 species